rnacentral:rRNA from 1 species
UACGAAGGUGGCAAGCGGUUGUUCGGAUUUACUGGGCGUAAAGGGAGCGUAGGUGGUUAGGUAAGCCCUCCGGGAAAUCUUCAGGCUUAACCUGAAAAGGUCGGGGGGACUGCCUAGCUAGAGGGCGGGAGAGGAGCGCGGAAUUCCCGGUGUAGCGGUGAAAUGCGUAGAGAUCGGGAGGACACCGGUGGUGUAAACGGCUUUCUGGACCAUAACUGACGCUGAUGCACGAAAGCGUGGGUAG